rnacentral:snoRNA from 1 species
UACCAAACCUUUUUGUCAGGGUGCUUCUCUAUCCGUUUUAGGAUAAACUUAUCUACAGAAGUGUCUGUUACUGUUUUGGAAGAGUAAUACUGUUCGCUUAUCCAUAUUUCCCCGUUCUGGGGAAGCCUCAUGGGUAAAUUAGAAGGACAACCUUUGUUUUAAAGGUAUACCUUCGCUUUUUAGAACAGCGAGGAUCUUAUGAGUUGAGCUUUUGUUAUUUUGAGACUUUAUCUCGGGCUCCAYACAAUAUGUUCGUAGUAAAGAUCCUCACAAUU